rnacentral:lncRNA from 1 species
UAUCUGCGGCAUUAGUUUAUCAUCAGGUGAGCAGAGGUUGGCUCCCUCCACUGGUACAGAAUCGAGAUCCAGCGGAUCAGUGGCGUGGUGGGACGGCACUGGAUCGCCUGGGUACGCCCGCUCAGCGCAACGGGUGGUAGCCGAUCGGUUACCAUCACCGCGCACGGCGGCACGAGGCAGGAGGAAGCGCCCGGCAAGUGUCGUGCUCCGGAGCCUGGAUUACGGUGAAUCUGACGACCGGAGCCGUGUUCCGCGGCCAAAUUGAAUCUGACGAUUCGGCGCGGAGGAAGCCGGAAAACCUCCGUGCAGAGGAGUGAGGAGAGCAGUUCCACUUCCACCUCGGAUUCUCGGUUCAGCGCAGCUGGACAGCACGCGAGAGAGCCGAGAGGGGAAAGUAAAGGGUGAAUGAAUCGGCUCAACUGCAGUGCAGUUCUAAAAUUAAGCACAAUGUUGGUCUUUAUAAAAAAAAAUAAAACACAGUGUUACCAACGAAACCAUGUUAUAGCACCAUAACUGAUAACUCAUCGAAACCAUGUUAUAACUGAUAACUCAUCGAAACCAUGUUAUAGGUUAUCUCUUAGAACUUGGAACGCAAGAACAGCAAGGAGUCCUUUUCUCUCUACAUCGAUUCACAGGACCCUAAAAACUGCGUGUUCCAGGAGCCAAGAACCUGAAGAUGAGCGCACGAAAGGGGAAGGGAAUCCAAGGGGCAAAACUUGGCACCAGCAGGCAACAGGCACCGCCGAAUUGAGGACAAACAACACUCUCUAUGUCAAGUAACACAGAUGCAUCUACACAGCUAGCUGCUACUGCUAGCUCUGCUUAUCUCCCGAAGCUGCGAUCCCUGUUCUUGGAGCCGGCCGGCACCACGAGGCCGCCCAGCAGGGUCCUUGCGAUCUGCAGCUUGAGCUGCCCCCUCUUGAGCGGCGGCCUCUUCUCCUUGUUACCGCCGCAGCCGUUGUAGGGGUAGCCGUACUCCAUUGCUCCUCUGCUUUGCUUCCUUGCUCUACCGCUGGGCGCAGGGCGCUCGGUCAGUGAGUGAGCAGCUGCUAGUUCCCGGUGGCCUGAGCUGCUGAUGUUGGGGAAGGCGAGAGCUGGAUUGCUUGCUUGAGGAGGGAGCGUGCAGGUGCAUUUUUAUAGCCGAAGUUCUCAGACAUGUGACAUCGCUGGGGAAGGUGGAAACGCGCGUUUCUUCUUUGUUUACUUCGGGUGCUGGGGUCCGGGAAUAAAGUUCACAUUGUUUUGAGCCAUGUGCAUGGUGGUUACCUCUAUUGCAACUUGUGAGUGAGUGGGAGCACGGAGCAGCU